UUUUUAAUCGACACGCAAUAUGAUUCGCUUCUUGAUUUCUCUAUUACUGGCUGGAUACGUCCUCAGUGUCCCAGUCGAUCCUGAAAUCAAAGAGGCUUCAGAGGUCUCAACUCCAGCGCCGGCAGAAAAUGUUGACGCAACAAAAACGCCUGCUGCAAAAACUGCCCUGACCAAAGACUCUGAUUUGGAAACCGAGCCCAGUGUGUGGUUCAGCUACCAUCACAGCAUCCAUAGUGUUCCACCCCCACCUUUGAUAAUUCCUAGGCCACGAGUUUACGCGUCAUACUACGCUGAUUACGCGCCGUAUUAUUCAUACUGGAACACAUGGUAAUUCUACUAACGACAUAAUAACUAAGUAAUUUUUAAAUAAAACAUGUAUUAACGU